AAACAGCUGAGAGAUGGCCACACACUCAGACUACAACAUCCAGAAAGAGUCUGCCUGCACUUGGUGCUUUGCCCGUGAGGUGGCACCAAUGGGCCUUGCCUGCACCAGCUCGCUCAGAAACACAACUGCGACAAGAUGAUCUGCCUCAAGGGUUAUGCUCACCUGCAUCCCUGUGCCGUAACUGCCGCAAGAAGUACAGCCACAAAACAUGCUGUGCCCCCAAAAGAAGGUCAAAUAA
rnacentral:lncRNA from 1 species